rnacentral:rRNA from 1 species
UACGGGGGGAGCAAGCGUUGUUCGGAUUUACUGGGCGUAAAGGGCGCGUAGGCGGUCAGCACAAGUCAGUUGUGAAAUCUCCGGGCUUAACUCGGAAAGGUCAACUGAUACUGUGCGACUAGAGUGCAGAAGGGGCAACUGGAAUUCUCGGUGUAGCGGUGAAAUGCGUAGAUAUCGAGAGGAACACCUAUGGCGAAGGCAGCUCUCUGGGACGGUACUGACGCUGAGACGCGAAAGCGUGGGGAGCGAACAGG